rnacentral:rRNA from 1 species
UACGUAGGGGGCAAGCGUUGUCCGGAAUUAUUGGGCGUAAAGAGCGUGUAGGCGGCCAGAAAAGUCCGCUGUGAAAACUCGAGGCUCAACUUCGAGCUGUCGGUGGAAACUUUCUGGCUAGAGUCCGGAAGAGGAGAAUGGAAUUCCUGGUGUAGCGGUGAAAUGCGCAGGUAUCAGGAAGAACACCCGUGGCGAAGGCGGUUCUCUGGGACGGUACUGACGCUGAGACGCGAAAGCGUGGGGAGCGAACAGG